AGUGUAGGCGGUCUGUUAAGCGUGUUGUGAAAUUUAGGUGCUCAACAUCUACCUUGCAGCGCGAACUGGCGGACUUGAGUGCACGCAACAUAUGCGGAAUUCAUGGUGUAGCGGUGAAAUGCUUAGAUGCCAUGACGAACUCCGAUUGCGAAGGCAGCGUACGGGAGUGUUACUGACGCUUAAGCUCGAAGGUGCGGGUAUCGAACA
rnacentral:rRNA from 1 species